rnacentral:lncRNA from 10 species
UAAACAUCCUCCUUCCUUCACCCUCUCCCAUUUAUUGUCUACAGUAACCUUAACAUCUGGACGCAGACAGCCCCAGCAAUCCUGGAGGAAACCUUGGAAAUACGCGGGUCAUCUUCUAUGAAGACCACAGCAGCCCUGAGAAACCAAUACAGCGUUCCAAUCUUUAAAAGAAGAGCCAAACGUCAUGCCUGGAUUAUUCCAGAAUUUUGCUGCUACGAACAAUGCUGCUAAGAUGAGUGUCUUCAAUCACUUGCACAAUUGUUUCU